GGUUAAGCGACUAAGCGUACACGGUGGAUGCCCUGGCAGUCAGAGGCGAUGAAGGACGUGCUAAUCUGCGAAAAGCGUCGGUAAGGUGAUAUGAACCGUUAUAACCGGCGAUGUCCGAAUGGGGAAACCCAGUGCAAUUCGUUGCACUAUCGUUAACUGAAUACAUAGGUUAACGAGGCGAACCGGGGGAACUGAAACAUCUAAGUACCCCGAGGAAAAGAAAUCAACCGAGAUUCCCCCAGUAGCGGCGAGCGAACGGGGAGCAGCCCAGAGUCUGAAUCAGCUUGUGUGUUAGUGGAACGGUCUGGAAAGUCCGACGGUACAGGGUGAUAGUCCCGUACACCAAAAUGCACAGGUUGUGAACUCGAAGAGUAGGGCGGGACACGUGGUAUCCUGUCUGAAUAUGGGGGGACCAUCCUCCAAGGCUAAAUACUCCUGACUGACCGAUAGUGAACCAGUACCGUGAGGGAAAGGCGAAAAGAACCCCGGCGAGGGGAGUGAAAAAGAACCUGAAACCGUGUACGUACAAGCAGUGGGAGCACCUUCGGGUGUGACUGCGUACCUUUUGUAUAAUGGGUCAGCGACUUAUAUUCUGUAGCAAGGUUAACCGUAUAGGGGAGCCGCAGGGAAACCGAGUCUUAACUGGGCGUUAAGUUGCAGGGUAUAGACCCGAAACCCGGUGAUCUAGCCAUGGGCAGGUUGAAGGUUGGGUAACACUAACUGGAGGACCGAACCGACUAAUGUUGAAAAAUUAGCGGAUGACUUGUGGCUGGGGGUGAAAGGCCAAUCAAACCGGGAGAUAGCUGGUUCUCCCCGAAAGCUAUUUAGGUAGCGCCUCGUGAAUUCAUCUUCGGGGGUAGAGCACUGUUUCGGCUAGGGGGUCAUCCCGACUUACCAACCCGAUGCAAACUACGAAUACCGAAGAAUGUUAUCACGGGAGACACACGGCGGGUGCUAACGUCCGUCGUGAAGAGGGAAACAACCCAGACCGCCAGCUAAGGUCCCAAAGUCAUGGUUAAGUGGGAAACGAUGUGGGAAGGCACAGACAGCCAGGAUGUUGGCUUAGAAGCAGCCAUCAUUUAAAGAAAGCGUAAUAGCUCACUGGUCGAGUCGGCCUGCGCGGAAGAUGUAACGGGGCUAAACCAUGCACCGAAGCUGCGGCAGCGACACUAUGUGUUGUUGGGUAGGGGAGCGUUCUGUAAGCCUGCGAAGGUGANNNNNNNNNNNNNNNNNNNNNNNNNNNNNNNNNNNNNNNNNNNNNNNNNNNNNNNNNNNNNNNNNNNNNNNNNNNNNNNNNNNNNNNNNNNNNNNNNNUUGCUGGAGGUAUCAGAAGUGCGAAUGCUGACAUAAGUAACGAUAAAGCGGGUGAAAAGCCCGCUCGCCGGAAGACCAAGGGUUCCUGUCCAACGUUAAUCGGGGCAGGGUGAGUCGACCCCUAAGGCGAGGCCGAAAGGCGUAGUCGAUGGGAAACAGGUUAAUAUUCCUGUACUUGGUGUUACUGCGAAGGGGGGACGGAGAAGGCUAUGUUAGCCGGGCGACGGUUGUCCCGGUUUAAGCAUGUAGGCUGAUUGUCCAGGCAAAUCCGGAUAAUCAAGGCUGAGGUGUGAUGACGAGGCACUACGGUGCUGAAGUAACAAAUGCCCUGCUUCCAGGAAAAGCCUCUAAGCAUCAGGUAACAUCAAAUCGUACCCCAAACCGACACAGGUGGUCAGGUAGAGAAUACCAAGGCGCUUGAGAGAACUCGGGUGAAGGAACUAGGCAAAAUGGUGCCGUAACUUCGGGAGAAGGCACGCUGGUGUGUAGGUGAAGUCCCUGCGGAUGGAGCUGAGACCAGUCGAAGAUACCAGCUGGCUGCAACUGUUUAUUAAAAACACAGCACUGUGCAAACACGAAAGUGGACGUAUACGGUGUGACGCCUGCCCGGUGCCGGAAGGUUAAUUGAUGGGGUUAUCCGUAAGGAGAAGCUCUUGAUCGAAGCCCCGGUAAACGGCGGCCGUAACUAUAACGGUCCUAAGGUAGCGAAAUUCCUUGUCGGGUAAGUUCCGACCUGCACGAAUGGCGUAAUGAUGGCCAGGCUGUCUCCACCCGAGACUCAGUGAAAUUGAACUCGCUGUGAAGAUGCAGUGUACCCGCGGCAAGACGGAAAGACCCCGUGAACCUUUACUAUAGCUUGACACUGAACAUUGAGCCUUGAUGUGUAGGAUAGGUGGGAGGCUUUGAAGCGUGGACGCCAGUCUGCGUGGAGCCAACCUUGAAAUACCACCCUUUAAUGUUUGAUGUUCUAACGUUGGCCCCUUACCGGGGUUGCGGACAGUGUCUGGUGGGUAGUUUGACUGGGGCGGUCUCCUCCCAAAGCGUAACGGAGGAGCACGAAGGUUAGCUAAUCCUGGUCGGACAUCAGGAGGUUAGUGCAAUGGCAUAAGCUAGCUUGACUGCGAGCGUGACGGCGCGAGCAGGUGCGAAAGCAGGUCAUAGUGAUCCGGUGGUUCUGAAUGGAAGGGCCAUCGCUCAACGGAUAAAAGGUACUCCGGGGAUAACAGGCUGAUACCGCCCAAGAGUUCAUAUCGACGGCGGUGUUUGGCACCUCGAUGUCGGCUCAUCACAUCCUGGGGCUGAAGUAGGUCCCAAGGGUAUGGCUGUUCGCCAUUUAAAGUGGUACGCGAGCUGGGUUUAGAACGUCGUGAGACAGUUCGGUCCCUAUCUGCCGUGGGCGCUGGAGAAUUGAGGGGGGCUGCUCCUAGUACGAGAGGACCGGAGUGGACGCAUCACUGGUGUUCGGGUUGUCAUGCCAAUGGCACUGCCCGGUAGCUAAAUGCGGAAGAGAUAAGUGCUGAAAGCAUCUAAGCACGAAACUUGCCCCGAGAUGAGUUCUCCCUGAGACUUUAAGUCUCCUGAAGGAACGUU
rnacentral:rRNA from 1 species